CAAUAGCGUAUAUUAAAGUUGUUGCGGUUAAAAAGCUCGUAGUUGGAUUUCUGCUGAGGACGACCGGUCCGCCCUCCGGGUGAGCAUCUGGUUCGGCCUUGGCAUCUUCUUGGUGAACGUAUCUGCACUUGACUGUGUGGUGCGGUACCCAGGACUUUUACUUUGAGGAAAUUAGAGUGUUCAAAGCGGGCUUACGCUUGAAUAUUUCAGCAUGGAAUAACACUAUAGGACUCCUGUCCUAUUUCGUUGGUCUCGGGACGGGAGUAAUGAUUAAGAGGAACAGUUGGGGGGCAUUCGUAUUUCAUCGUCAGAGGUGAAAUUCUUGGAUUUAUGAAAGACGAACUUCUGCGAAAGCAUUUGCCAAGGAUGUUUUCAUUAAUCAAGAACGAAAGUUGGGGGCUCGAAGAUGAUUAGAUACCA
rnacentral:rRNA from 1 species